GGAGAGGUGGCCGAGCGGCUUAAGGCGCACGCUUGGAAAGCGUGUGUACCUCACAAGGGUACCGGGGGUUCGAAUCCCUUCCUCUCCG
rnacentral:tRNA from 1 species